GAUAAACUUCAUGAUGACACCAUUUUUGGCAUACUGGCACAAUGCUUCGAUAAGGGUUUCAACUGAAACAUGUACAUCAUCCUGCCGGCAAGAAAGCAAGCUCUGUGUCUGCGUGGGGAAGAUCACAGUUUCACUGUACUGCAUUCCAGAAAUAGCAGGGAAAUUUGUCAAGGUUUUCUGUACAUUCUCUCCUUUUCUCCUACAUACGAACCUAUGCAAUCUUCUAAGAACAGGGAGAGAUGCCAAAAUGAACACAGUGAUGUAAUGGUCUGUGAUGCUGGGAACAGUCAGAGGCUACAUCCUGCACACUGUCUCAAGCAUAAAUGUAUGCUAUUAACUGCAUUACUUUAAGGAACACCAGCAAGUGAGUAUCAAACUGCUUCCCACUGACCCUCAAAGUCUCUAAGUUUCAUCUGCAGCUAAAAAAGAGUGCCUGUUUCCUUGAGAGAGAC
rnacentral:lncRNA from 1 species